CCCCACCUCCCGAUCAAGCCAUCCAGCCGCCUCUCCUCGCCCUCCUGCCUGCGCGCAUCUCUCUAGAGCUUAAACUCUCCUAGAGAGAUCUCAGGCAGCCCCAAUAACCAACCGCUCGACCCAACUCGUCGUCGUCGUCGUCGCAGAUGGCCGGCCUCAGGAUGAAGCUCGUCGCCGCCGCCGCCGUGGCCGCCGCGCUCGUGGCGUCCGCCGCCGCCCAGGCCCCCGCGCCAGCGCCCACCUCCGACGCCUCGGCCGCGGUGCCCCUCGCGGCGGCGUCCUUCGCCGCCGCCGCCUUCGGCUACCUCUUCUGCUAGAUCCGUCGUCCGGGGAUGCCGUCGUGCUCCCUGGCCGGUCGGGCCUGCUGAUGAUGAUAUGAUUCGUUUUGGCGUGAGUCGAGUCCCCUGUUCGUGGCGCGUGUUGAGGGAUGUCGGUGGGCGUGUGUAUGUACGAGUCGGCGGCGGGUGGAGGUGUGCGCGCGUGUUGGAUACGUGCGUCGACGCGCCACUCUUUGUGGUGGAGAUCAUGUACCCGCUGCGCUUCUGUUUAUCAAUGAGAUGAUUUAUUUGAUUCUUUUCAUCUUAUAUACAAUAUACAUGAGAAUUGCGUAUUCAGUUUGUUGUGUUUUGCUCUGCAAACUUGCGAUGUGCAGAUUGUUGUAAAACACUGUCGAACGAUUCUCCCUCAAUCGAGUUCUUCCGUUGCAAAGAAAAAGAAAACGGUGCAUCUCUCUUAAAAAACGAUUACUAUUCUUACGACCUGAAAAUUAAGGGGUGCAGGCUACAGUUCAAACAUGUAAUUGGAAUCUGAAAUCGAUUUGACCGACUAAGGAACUCACCAUCUGAACUCUAAGCCCUUGUUUACUUCACCCCCAACUCCCAACUUUGGCACUAUGCAAAAAGAAGAUUCCCCAUCACAUCAAACUUGCGGUACAUGCAUGGAGUACUAAAUGUAGAUGAAAUUAAAAACUAAUUGCACAGUUGUUGUACUUUGCGAGAUGAAUCUUUUGAGCCUAAUUAGUCAAUGUUUGGACAAUAAUUCACAAAUACAAACGAAACGCUACAGUGUGCUACAGUGCUAGCACAGUAAUUUUACAUCUCCUAAUUUGACCAGCUAAACAAGGCCUAAGCAAAACGACCGGCAUAACGACUUUCAUUUAUGACCAACCAAUUCAGAAUUGACAAGCUUUAUUUUUCCUACCUCCCUCGAAAAGAAUGCUGUGGCACGGAGUCCUUGUGAAGUUCGUUAGGAGAUGCCGGGCCGGGGUUGCUUAAUCAGUUUGGUGAGGGAUCCGAACGUUGAAAUGAUUGAAGCAUGUUGGCGUCGCCACUUGCCAGCCAAGAAGCCAUGUGCUGCUCGUUAAGCACUGGUCCACAGAUGAGUUGUCUUGGUAGGGGCAGCCGUACCCGCUGUAUCACCGCUGGCAUGCUCCAAGCUGGAAAUGGUGAGCCGUCGCAAUCGCUGCAGUAUUACCCGACUAGUAUGUGCUUUAUGGAAUUGCAGGACUGCUUAAUUUUGACCGUGCUCGUGGAUUUAGAUGCUGGUCGAUGGCUCCAGCUCGAUGCCUUUUCCUACUGUACUGGCUACUGCCGACCGAGAGUCUCAGAGCGUGCAGAAUGCAGGUCGAGUUCCGCAAAGUUGUUGGCGUACACAGCUGGGGAUUGGGCCAGUGCCAGCUCUACACACCACUGGGCCACCUUUGUGUUUUCUCCGGCCUGCUUGAAAAUGUAUUGGGCCAGUUUGUUGGGCCGCUUACUUACAUCUGUGCUCAGCUAAAUCCAGCGAGAACAAUGGAAGAGUUUUUGGCUCUAUACAACAAAUCUUUUGGUUUUUUCCCCCCCUUUCUUUUUCAUCCACAUAAGACACCCACGAUGGCGUUUAUAUUUGUAAGAUAACUGAGUUGCAUUUUUAAGUGCCUCAUUUCUGGAUUAUCGGGCAGCUUCUGAAAGGAAGCUCCAAUUAUAGUAGACGAAGUAGAAGGUUUUUUUUUCGAUUCAAGACCUGGAACGUAGGUAGCUAGAGUCUACGCACUGCAGUUACAUACUGACAAAUUGCAAUGGCGAGUCGGCGACCGACAAGCAGAGGCCAGGCACAGCUGCGUCACAUGAACUCGCUCAUCAUGGCGAGCACCUGCGCCAUCGUGGGCCUCUCCUCCGGCGCCUCGGCGGUGCACAGCACGCCGAUCUUCACCAUCCCCAUCGUCUCCUCCCCUUCGCCGCCUUCCUCGCCGUCGGCGGCCUUGUGGUCCGUCACCACCUCCAGGAGCACCAUCCCGAAGCUGUACACGUCGGACUCCUGCGUCGCCCUCGCGCCCGCGCCCGACGCCAGCUCCGGCGCCGCGUACCCGUGCCACCCGACGCUCGCCGCUGGCGGGGCCGCCGACGACGUCGCGGUCGCCGCCCGGCCCAGGAACAGGUCCGGCGGGCACCGGGCGGCCUGCGGGACGACGGACUGCUGGAUGUUUGUGGCGUAGCGCAUGAGCCCGCACUCGGACACGCACGCGCCGCCGCGCUCGUCCAGGAGGAUGUUGGACGGCUUCACGUUCGCGUGCACAAGCGCCGGCCGCGCCGGGAACGUGUGGAUGUAGUUCAGGCCCUGCGCCGCGCCGAACAGUAUGCUCUUCCUCCCCGCCCAGUCCAGGCUCCUCGCGCCACCACCUGCAGCAACAACAACGGCCCGUCAGGAACACUCGCUUUCUUGCACCGACUGCAAAUUGGCAAUGCAUUUGGGAUUUCAUUAUCUCAUUUCAGCGCGACGACGCACCACUGGCUUGCAGAAGGGACUGGAGGCUCCCGUUGGGGAGGAAGUCGUAGACGAGGAGGCGCUCGCCGUUGGAGUUGCAGUACCCCCUGAGGCUGACGACGUGCCGGUGGCGGAGCCGGCCGACGAGCCGCAUGUGGCGGUCGAACGCCUUGCUCCGGCUGGCGGGGAACUGCAGCGCGCUCAGGCGCUUGACGGCCACCACGAUGCCGUCGUCGAGCACCGCCUUGUAGGUGCUCCCGGACACGCCCUUGCCGAGCACCUCGGCGGACGCCUUGAGGAGGCUCUCCAGCCGCAGCUCCUCGCCGCCCUCGAAGCAGACCAACCCGCCGCUCUUCUGGCACUUGUCGUCCCCGUUCGCCCUCUUCUCUUGCUCCUCGAAGGAGAGUGCCGCGUCGGAGGCGUCCUUCGCCGACCGGAGCUUCCUCCUCAUGUAGACGAACAUGGCCACGGAGAUGGCUAGCGAGACCGUGAUGAGCACUGCGUUGCCAAUGCCGGUGGCCAUGAGUGCAGUCAAGCUAAGCUUACUGAAACCUCCAUUGCUGGAACUGGAAGGCACACUACCACUAACGUUCACUGCAGCACCAGGAGAUUGAGCAGCGAUACUGGUGGUAGCAUUGGAAGAACUAUCCGAUCCUAACGCAUUAUAAGCACGAACACAUCUUGGCAGAGGCGUGCCACAGAGAGCGAGAUUGCCGCCGAAAGUCGACCUCGGGAACCUGGACAGAUCGCCGGAGAUCUCCCCAGCGAGCUUGUUCCCGGACACGUUCAAGCUCCUGAGCGACGGGGCGCGCAGCGCCUCCAGGCCUCCACGGAAGCCAUUGUGCUCCGCUCUAAGCGUGAGCAGAGCACCCAGCGAGAUGUUCAGGCUCCCGGUGAGCCGGUUGCGGGCGACGAGCAGGUGCCGCAGCCACGGGCUCGCCGUGGCGUCGUCCAGCGGGGGGAGGGCGCCGGACAGGGAGUUGUUCCUGACGGCGAGCGCCCUGAUAUGGCUGAGCCGCAGGAGCGGCGCCACCUCGCCGGCCAGCGAGGCGCCGUCGAGGAAGACCCCCACCACCCUGCCCCUGGAGCACCUGAUCCCGAACCACGUGCCGGAGCACGGGUUGGGGCCGUGCCAGGUCGCCAGGGCCGUGGCGUUCGGGUUGUAGGACUUGAAGGAGAGCAGCGCGGGCAGGUCCUGGUGGCCGCCAUUGCCGACCUCUCCGUGCACAGAAGGUACCGAUAGGUGGUAGACGAGGACGGCGAGGAGCAGGAAGGUGGAAUGGUGGAAACGAGGCAUUUUGGUAGCUGUAAGAAUUUUCUUCUGUGUUUGACCGAGAAAUCUAUCCACUCGUUUUAUAGCACGGGCCGGUAACAAUUCAGCGCGGGGAAGUAGAAAAUUUUGAAUGGCGCACGAGCACAAAGGCGUGGAACGACGACGAGCAGAGGGGUCCAAAGAGGAAAGCUGGGUACCUGCGCCGACGUCGUGGGUGGGUGUCGAUGCUGAGGUCGUGGGGAGGAGGGUGGAGGUGAAAAGCGGCGCCAUGGAGGACAGGAGGAGAGGUCCAAGGGGAUGGGGAGCUGACGAGGUGCCCUUUUUCCUCCCUUGGGCAGAAGGAACUUGGACGUAUCUGGUGGGCUGCACGUAGCCGUGAUGGUCGUCGCGCCGGGGAGAUGCUGGUGCUCGCUUCGCUUUACGGAAGCGGCCGAAAGGAAGCAAGAGGGCUCGGGGUUCCACGGCGCGUGGUGGAGUAUCGGGUUCACGAGACGAGACGGGAGUAGCGAGUGGGGACGUUGGCGUCAGGUGGCGCCACGCACCGGUAGGGGAGCAGACAGGAAUGGAUUCCAGCUUCACGUUGCACUAGUCCCCCAGAGUCACAGUGAACCCGGAACACUGAACUGGGUUCAGGUGUCGGGGCAUCUAUUGUUGGGUCCGUUCGUGCUGUGGGCCGAGCCAGGUCUUGCCACCCGAUCCAGCCCAGUAACCGGAGUAGCCAAGAUUUUGUUGGGGCGUCGGGUUCAAACUUCAAAUUGGCAGGUGGAGACGCUUCCAAACGGGUUCAUAGUGAGUCAUUGCUACUGGUACUACGGAGGACUAGGAAGGUUAAUUAUCAUUAUGAACAGUGUUAGUUAGCACCGUCGUCUGAAUGAAAGGUCAUGACAUGCUCGUGAAACCUCGAUUCUAAUGUAUGCGCGCAGUUUUUGGUAUAUCAACUCAGAACUCGACUGGUGGUGUGGUGAGCACAAAAAUGCAUCUUGUUUUUUUUUCCCACUAAGGGCUACGUCCAAAUUUCAUUACUGUUUAGGCAAUGAAAUUACAGAGUAUGAGAGUUGUCGACACCAUGGUCACACCAGAGAUUACAAAAGCAUCUCCAGGAGGACAGGUGCAGACGGCCUUUCCACCUGGGAGGAAUAAAGCGAGCCUACUUAUUACAUGACACAGAACUAACAGCAUGCUAAACAUCUCACAGCCAACCAAACUAGGAACAUUUCUCAACCAGCCUCCAAAGUUGCUUUGAGCAUCACACUGUAUCCAGACUUCCUGGCUUGAUUUGGGACAGCACUUCUUCUCUUUUUUACUGCAGCAGUACCAUCCCUGUGUCGUCGGUUGUUGCUUCACGGGGGUGAAAGUGCAACGCCGUCGCCUUCAUUGCAUCAGCGCCAGCCUCCAGGAUCGUCCUCCCCUCCGGCUUAUGAAGACCUGCUCAAUAUGAAAUGAAAACAGAUGCUGAACAUAUAAUCUCUGAAGGAGAUUUGACCUAUUUUUUAUCAAAGCAAGCAGCAUUUCUAGCUUUCCAGAGUGCCCAGCAGACCGCUGACAGCCCCACCACAUGGAUGUUUUUGUUUUGUGACAUAUACUAUCUAGUCCAUUCCCAAAAUUGGGCAAAGGUAGUUGGUCUACAUGGAGCACCAAUUACCAUGGCAAUAAGGCUCCAUACAUACCUAGCCAAGGCAUAUCCAAAGAAAAGGUGUUUCGAUGUUUUCUUCCAUAUGACAGAAACAACAGCUUUUGUCCCCCUGCCAGUUGCGUUUUAUAAGGUUGUCUUUAGUCAGAAUAGCAUCUUUUUGGAUUAACCACAUAAAGAUUUUUAUCUUCAAAGGGAUUUUGGCUUUCCAAAUAUUGUCAUGAGGACUGGGUAUAGACUACCGCCUCAUCAUCGACACAUCGAACAACGAUGGCAAGGAUGCCAAGUACGAGGCGGUGGUUCAUGAGAAAAACUGGGGAGACCAAAUCACUCUCUUGUCCUUUAAGCGAGCAGACUCUCAGCAACAAUUGGCAUGAGCAUGUUAAUCACUCUCUUGUCCUUUAAGGAUGCCAAUGAUUUGUAGUAGGGUUGCCACCUUGAUUAAUGCUUAUCACUACUUGCUCUACAACUAUUGCAUUUUGUGUUUACUCCAUUUAGCGUCCUUUCGUUACGCCUUGCUUAAUGCUUAUCACUACUUGCUCUACAACUGCUGCAUUUUGUGUUUACUCCAUUUAGCGUCCUUUUGUUAAUCGUUGAAAUGGCGUGGUAGCUGCUGCGUAAUGCGUAUCAUGUAAUUUGGCAUCUCCAAUAUAAAUGGGAUUUUCAGCCUAAAUAAAAUGUGAUUGGGAAAUUUGGCUUCCCACUUUUGUACAUGAUGCAAACGGUCAUAUACAUGCACACACAAUUACAAAUACACGCACGCUAGUUCGAUCUUCAAGUUUAAUAUAGUUUCAGCUGUUCAAACAUUGGAUUGAACAUGACCGAUCCAUUUGAAAGUAGAUUGCUUUCAAACACAAAACGUGGAUUGCGUUAAAUAUUUUUAUUAGACAUAUUAGGAAUGUAAAAGUCAAAUUUAUAAUAAUUUAACCAAACAUUAGUCAAAUUCUAUAAAUCCUCAGUAUAAAAGUUAUAUGGAUGAAUUCAAAUAUGAAAUAUCUUACUUCUAUACAUCUAAUAGUAUAUUGUAAUAGAAACUAUAUCAGUCAAUAUAUAUCUAUAAAUAUUUUCAAAUCAUCAUGUGCCUACUAAAAACAAACAAAGUUAAUGUUAUGGUUGUGAUUUUAUUGCUACAAAUAUUACUAGUAUUAUAAGAGCAUCUGCAGCAGUCUCCCAAUAAAUAUUUCCCAAUAACUAGUUAAUAGGGAUAUUCCAAUAUCACUUUCAUCGUUAUUGGGAGAGUUGCUUUUGCAGUCUCCCAAUAAUUUCAUCCCAAUCCAACUACCGUAUUGAGAGAGUUACAACUCCUUUAUUUAGGGAGAGUUGGGAUGAAUUAUUGGGUUGUCCCAAUAAUUAUUGGGAAAAGGGAAAGUUAAAGGAAGACUGUUGGAACACUAUUUUCUUAUCAACUCUCUCAAUAUGAUAGUUGGAUUGAGGAAAGGGAGAUUGCUAAAGAUGCUCUAAUAAGCUAUGUAUUCAAAACAAAGUGGUCAUGCGGGUAUUAGAGUUGUGAUCCGAAAUAACGGCAGGAAAAUUCUGUUAUCUGCAUGGCGAGUCAUUUUUUAUGCAGUGAGCGUACAGGAAGUGGAGGCAUUGGCAUGCAAAGAAGGGUGGCCCUUGAAGGGAGCCCGCGAUCUUAGAGUUAGACUGCAGUGCGGUCAUUCACUAAAUCAAGGAAGCGAGUAAGAUGAUACUAGCUAGCAUAAUUUUUCACGGUCUAGAAGGCUAAGCGCCUAGCGGAAAGUCUCCCAUGUCUCGUUUUGAGUCAUGUAAAGAGAUAGCAGAACGUAGUCGCACAUGAGCUUGCGAAGCAAAUCGCAAUGUAGUGUGGUGUGAUCAUCCCCCACUUAUAUGAGCAUUUGAUUGCUCAUGCCUGUAAAUUUUUUUUUGAGCAAUCAAUAAAGCGCUCUCUCUUUUUUAAAAAAAAAUUUGCAAAGAAAGAGACUACGAAUCAAAGUUGGAGAAUGUGACGAGUCAAAGCAUAUUGUGAAAUGGAGGCAGCAAAAUCCUAACGCUUCCUGUCGCAUCGACGUUCGAGCUCUGUGUACUUAAUUGAUUGCCACGUAGAAGCCGAAGAGUGCAGCGUCGAUUCAACUGGCGCGCGUCUAGACCCUAUAAAAGGACGGGGUUUCCAAGGCAGCACUGCACCGAUGCUUGCUCUGCACCAGCAAAGGCAGUCAAACUAACAGUACGCCGGGCACCGGAAGAUCGAUCGACCAGGCAUGUCGCCGCCGCCGGAGCAGGACAGGAGGCUUGGCGUCGUCAAGCCGGAGCCCGAUCCCAUGAUCAAGCUCAAGGUGCUGGACAACGAGGGUCGCAGGGUCUUCCACUCCAUGAGGAUGUCCGACAAGCUCCAGGCGGUCAUGGAUGCGUACUACGCGAAGGCGCCCGACGUGACCUACGGCUCCGGGACCUUCAUGUUCGAUGGAUCCAUCCGGCUGCGGGGCAGCGAGACGCCGGCGGAGCACGGUCUGCAAGAUGACGACGUGAUCGACUCCUACGAGGACCUGGUGGGCGGCGGACGGGACGACGCCUGAUGCACCGGACCGGCGGCUGAUCGAUCGAUGGCCGCGCGAGUACGUCGUAGCAGUCGUUUAAUGGAUGUCGUUAUAUUAUCAUUCGCCAGUCAUCACUAGUCUCCAAUUAUUACAAAGACGUAUCAUCUACUAGGAUUCAUCUUUCUACUAUACAUGCAAGGUGGAUCCAAUAUGUUCUCUUGAAACUUUGUUAUUGAUGCAUCUUCACAGUUUACCUGCUGAAUUCAACUGUCAAAACUUUUCUAAGGCCCCGUUUGGAUCAUUGGAAUUGAAUUCCAUCCUAAUAAUCAUAAUUUAGACACAAAUUAAUUAAACUAAUAUAAUUGUAUGUGGAAUAUAGUUGUAUAUUAUAGUUGGUGAUAUGGGAGAGAUACUUGUAUGCUGCACUUCUACUAUAGAGAAGCGAGUCUAAGAGCGUGCUAUAAGAAUUGAAUUCCAUUCUAAUAACCAUAAUCUAUAGAAUCAAUUUCCAUCUCCCACCCCAUGAAUUUAAAAUAGGCUUAUAUCUAAACUUUGGAAAGUUGUGGAAUGCCACAUUCCAACAUAAAUUAGCCUACUCCAUUAAAUAGAUUCCAAUUCCUUGGACCCAAACGGGGCCUAAGCGAAAUGAAGCGUUCGUGGUAUAGCACUUGGAUCAUCCACGGCCCGAUGAUCGAUUGCCCAGGCGGCUGAGAUCUCUUUAGUCGUCUAGAGCUCACGGGGGAAUUCCGAAGAUGCGUUCGGGGCAUUCGAUAGCUUAGCCGCGUCCUGGUACGUCAUGAUUCAUGAACAGUUUGAUCUGGUAAAUUAUGAUUUCAUUGAAGACAUUGCCGUUCCAUUUUCUAUUGAUGAAUUUUUUUAUUAAUCUUCUCGUAAAAAGUUUUUGACGAGGCACUUUAUGCGAUCCAUUGCUUACGAUAUACAUCAAGUUCAACAAAGUGGUUUGGCCUUUUUUUUAGAUAUGCAAAAUAUAAAUCUAUUGAUGCAACUUUGAGACAUGAAAACAUAUAAUUUGACUACUCUUGGAGUAAAACCUACAAAUUAAAGUAUUGACUAUUUGAUACACCCUACGUAAAGAAACAGAGUAAGCAAUGCACGUCAAGCAGACAAAUGAUACGAUCAAGUUCAACAAAUUAAAGUGGUUAGUGGUGAGAAGCAGAUUUUGGUAGGCAUAUACUUCCGUCUCAUCAUCGAUGCGUCGAACAACAAUGGCACGGAUGGCAAGUAUGAGGCGGUGGUGCACGAGAUGGAUUGGGGAGAAAAACUCUCCCUUGAGUCCUUUUAAGUCGGCUAAUUGAUCUACAAUUAGAAUGACCGUCUUAAUGCAAUUAUCCUAAAUAAUGAUGUCAAGGUGUAUUUUCAUGCCUUUGGAUUUUUUUAUGGUUAUAUACAAUUGUCUCAGGAAGCUUGUGCCUCAAGCAUGUCUCUCUCCUAGGAGUAGAUCACUGCCUCACUGGAGACCACAAGAUCAUAGAGCUUCCGACUAAAGUGAGCAGUUUCUUCGAGCUUCUGAGUUCACCAGAAAGAGCGAGGUUGCUACUAAAGGGAGCAGUUUCUUCGAGCUUCUGACUAAAUCGAUCCAAAAUUAUGUCAAACAAUUUCCACUAAAUUACAAGAUAACUAUAUAUUGCAGGAGCUGAUGUGAUAUGAAUCCACUAAAUCACUUCCAAGUUGUAUUUGAACAAACUGUCCAUCGGUUUCCAUCCAUUUCGCCGGAAUACAAGCUCUUAUUAGUAAGGGCUGCAUGCAAGGACUGUCUUAAUUUUUUGCUGUAAGGUAAAACUAGUUGUCAAUUAAUUUCAGGCCAAUCAUUUUCUACUAAAAAUUGCAAGAUACUACUUAAUUUGACACAUCCAAUUAAUAUUUUCCAAAUUGUAUCGAACACCCUGUCCAUCAGCCAUUUGUUGGCAACGUCACGAGGCUAAGUGCUAUUAAAUGCCUCAGUCGUGUCUCCAAUCUUCAGCAAAAACUAUGAACCUGCCAAUCUUGUUAGUACUUCAAUAGACUUCCUCGAUUCUAAAUUAUAGUUCACUUUAGCGUUGUUCUAAACCAAACUAUUCUCUCUGACUAAAUGUAUAGAAAAAUAGAACAAUAUCUACUAUCAGCAUAUUUCUUAGCAGAUUCAAUGAAACUAUAAUUUGACGUUAUAGAUCUUAAUGCCUUUUUUAUGAACUUGAUCAAAGUUAAAGAGAUUUGACUCAGAACAAUACUCGUAUAUACUACUUACAUUUUAAAAGAAGUAUAAAAUAAAGUAGUUAUUGUAAUGAAUGUAAAAUAAGCUUAGAAGAAACCUCAAUGACCAAAUUGGGACUGCAGAAAGUACUUUCUCCACCCUAUUACUGGCUCCGCACGCACAAGAGAAACAAAAGCACGAGCUUGUGGCCAUUAUUCAAACAAUAAAAUUAGCACUAGUCACUUGGAGAGAAACCGGCAAAACAUCCAGAAAUAUACCACACAUAGGGGUGGUAAUGGAUCAUGCCUCCUUCACAAUCCAACUCAACCCUAUUUAUUUUUAGUUCAAAAUCAUAUAUUAUUAUAGCCCGAUACAUAUUGAGCAUGAUCCUUAAAUUUGCUAAGUUAAAUUAGAGGGCCCUUUACCACACCUAACCACGCCACAAGAACAAAAUUCAACAAGCUGUUGGUAACUCGGUACUCUACCGGUUGGAUACAAAACAAUAUUAAAAACUGCUGCUACUAAUAUUCUCUUAAUGAAAUACAUGCACGUUUAUAAAAAAAAUGACUCACAUGACCCUCCUAAACCUAGAGAACAGACUCGAUUGAAACUAAUCGGGAACCUAAUAAUAGUGAGCACAGUCACUGGCAUGUAAAUAAACUAAGUAGAGCUGUAUAUCUAGAUAUUGAGGUAGUUCUUGAUGGACUCCUCGAACUCCUUGACGACGGCUUUCCAUCCGGCAUGGGUCGGGUUGAUGUCGUCCCAGUAGAAGAACUUGUCCGGCUUGGACCCCAGGCUGUACUGCGGCUCACCGUCCUGCACCUGCCCGCAGAACCCGCUCCGGUCGAAGCUCUCGCAGCACGACUCCAGCCUGUACUUGAACUGCUUCGAUCGCGGCGACGGGCCCGCGUAGUGGCUGAAUGCGGCUUUCAGGUCGAGGUUGAAGACGGCCUCGUCCUGGAACACCUUCUCCUCGAGGUACGAGUUGUGGAUGCUCGCCACCUUCUGGCUGUCGCACUUGGCAUCGUAGACGCCGUCCUCGGACCUCGACAGCCACGGCGUGCACCCGAGCGGGGGCAGCGAGGUCACCACCACCUUCUCGACGCCCAGGUCCAUCAGCUGGUCCACGGCGUCGGCGAUCUUGUCCGUCACCUCCUGGGCCUUGGCCUUCACCUCCGUGCUGGUCAUGUCGUUGAAGCGCUCGUAGUCGCGCCUGCCGGAGAAGGCGAUGAGCGCGACGGAGUCCGUGAGGUCCUCGUCGAUGAUGCCGAGCCUGACCAGCCUCUUGAACUUGUCCACCUGCCUGCCGAGCCUGGGCGCGUCGCUCGUCCCCUCCACCACGCCGGCGCCGCCGACGGCGAAGUUCAUGCCGGACGGAUCGACGCCGUCCUGCUUCCUCUUACUCUCCGCCGGAGGGGACUCCUUCCGCCCCAGAAUCCUCGCUGCACAAAUUAUGUAUUGAUGAGACAGGGCCAGGAUUUAGAAUAUUAAGUACUGAUCCGAGCUUAUUAUUACGUACCGAAGAAAUCAGAGAGGACCAAGCCGUUGGAGAAGCGGCCGCUUGGAGUGGCGCCGUGCUCCUUGUCGUUGCUGCCGUACGGGUAGUACCAUGCGCGCGUCGUCUUGGUCAGGUCUGCUAGCGGGAAGUUGCCGGCGUCGGCGAACUCGUCGCCGAACACGAACAGCUUAUACCGCCGGCCCGAGUCGCUGUCGCGAUGGCGUCGGGACUCCACAUGAGCAGCUGCUAACAACAACGUUAAUUAAAGCUCCGAUCCGAGAGCAGAACAAUGCACGACAGCAAGUAAACCACCUGGAGAAAUUAGCAAGAACAAGCAGAACAACACAUACCGUUCAGCAGGAGUAGGAGGCCGCAGACGGCGGCGAAAAGAAGCUUCAUGCUGGCUGGUUCCUUGGAUUUCGAUCGAAGGCGAGUUGCGCGGGGCGCGGGUGUUGAGGUGAGUCAAUUGCUGAGUCGUGGUGCCAGGACGACGGCGAGCGUCGCAAUUUAUACACGGGAGAUCGAGUUCCGAGUCCUACUGGGGGUGGGGGAGGCGCGCUUGUUUGCCCAGUCCGCCGCCGACUGUAACUCGUUUCCAAGCCUAGCUGGUACACUGACGAACAACAAGUCAGAAAGCCGACGAUUCCUGCUCGGAGUUGGCGGGUUGGCGGGCCUUUUCUCUCUAGGAUCUCACCAGGCCUCAAAAUACCCGGGCCAGUACAGCAGAAGAGGCCCAUCGCUACCACCCCAAUACAUGCAUACGACCAGCGUUCACUAAUGGGCCCCAUCCCUGUCUGCACGGACGACGAUAGAAGUUGGCCCGAAAUCAACACGGCUGGGCCUGGGCUGUGCAUCACAGAACCCUUUUUUUCUUUGGCGACGAACAAAACCCCUCGCCACUACUACUUAGCCACGCAUGAUGAUGAUGAAUUUACGUUUGAUGAUUGCUUGUUGAUCAAUCAGUCGAUCGAUCGAUCUGCGGAGUACUCUGACGGAAGGAAAGCUAACCCUCUCCGCCGGCGCCGGCGCCACCGCAAUGUGGUUCACCUCCCGUCGCAAACCCAACGCCGCCGAACCUUCCGAGGAUGCACCGUCGUCCUCCUCGCCACGCAGCUCGCAACCCCGCGGCUACUCCCUCCGCAUCUCAUCCUCCAACCCCUGCCCCCAAACCCAGAGCUCCCGCGACGGAGCCCUAGCCUCCGCCACCUCCUCCUCCGCCGCCGCCUGCGACCUCGGCGGCGGAUGGGGGAACUCCGUAGGCCGCGGCGGCGGCGGCUUCCUGUGGUGGAUCUUCUCCGCCGGAGCGGCGCGCGCGGACGAGGGGAAGCCGGCGGGGGCCGACUGGGACGCGCACGGGCUCCCGGUCACGCGCACACCGGUGCCGCUCUCCAGGCUCGACGGGAGGAAGCGGUACAAGGUCUCCGAGCUCAACUUCCUUGACUGCCGCGCCCGGGACCGCGCCAGCGCCCGGGACCGCGCCAGCGCCGCGGAGAAGAACCCCUUGUUCGACGACAUGGCCAAGCUGCGCCCCGGCGGCGUGUACACCCGGUCGCAGCUGCUCGGGCAGCUCCAGGCGAUGACCUCCUCCGGCAUGUUCGAGCAGGUCAGCCUCCAAGGGAAGCCCAAGCCGGACGGCACGCUCGCGCUCACCGUCACCUACGCCGAGAACAUCUGGCCUGGAGCCACCAAACGGCUCAAGUGCGUCAACGUUGGACUCAUGGCGCCGCCCGACGCUGGCCCUGCUGAGGACAUGACGGCGAGGGAGAAGAUGGAUUACAUCCGGAGGCAGGACCAUGACUACCGGCAGCGAAUCCGCAGCGCCAAGCGGUGCAUUCUACCGGAGUCUGUGCGCGAGGAGGUGCUGGGGAUGGUGAAGAAGCAGGGGAAGUUGACCGCCGGGGUGCUGCAAAGGAUGAGGGACCGCGUCGAGAAGUGGUACCACGACGAGGGCUUUGUGUUCGCCCUGGUGCAGAACUUCGGGAACCUCGACACCGACGAGGUUGUGUUGGAGGUGGUAGAGGGGGACAUCACCAUGGUGGAGUACCAGUUUCAGGACAAGCUUGACAAUAUCGUCGAGGGGAACACUCACAUCGCUGUCGUUGACCGGGAGCUGCCCCAGCAGGUAUGUAUAUAUAUAUAGGCAAUUUUCCUUACUACAUCAACAUCAGUUCCAUGGUUAAUUAACAUGUUCUGUUCGAGAUGUCUAUGGAUGAAUUGUUGUUUAAUGUGCCACGAGUUGAUUGGUUCGAUGUAUUCUAUUACGAUUCUCAAACACAUUUACUCUGACCUGAUAUGCUUUCUUGCAACCAUGUAAUUUACCUUCUGCCUUUCUUACACUGUGCAGCUUCGACCUGGCCAUAUCUAUAACAUUGGGGCAGGGAAACAAGCUCUGAAGCAUAUCAAUUCACUCGCUUUAUUCUCCAAUAUAGAAGUGAACCCUCGCCCUGACGAGACAAAAGAAGGGGGUGUAGUGGUUGAAAUAAAACUCAAGGAACAUGAACCAAAGUCGGCCGAAGUAACUACAGAGUGGAGCAUUGUACCUGUGCAUCAAGGGAGACCAACUCUUGUAAGGCACCACUUAUUUGUAACCUUUUUUCCUUCUUCUCUGCAGAAUCUGUACCUUGAAUGAUAGAAAACAUCAUAAAUAUAUAACCGCCAAUCAUUAUAAAUCCAUGUUUCACAACCCAUCUCACGGAAACUUUCUUUUUAGGCAUCAAUUCAACCUGGAGGAACUGUGUCAUUUGAGCACCGCAACAUCUCUGGUUUAAACAGAUCUCUUGUCGGUUCUGUUACUUCCAGCAACCUGCUCAAUCCUCAGGUGAGUUGGUACUGAGUUCUUUUAUUGAAAACAGAAGCUUUGAUGCAAUGUUGCUUUGGUUUACAAUUACAUCUACAUUCGCUCUGAUCUGCUUGUACUAAAUUAGCUGAAUUGUCACUUAUAACCGUCUCAGUCUUCCUUUGUAACUAUAUGUUUCGAGUCAUAUUUCAAUUAUCAUUAUUACAUGAAGUGUGGAACUCAGUUGAGUGUCUUCUGCAUUGAAAUGUGAAACAUUGCAGACUUUAAUUGCCAUUCUGCUGCAAUCUGAAAUAAGUAAAUAAAAUUAUACCCUUGUUUCAUGAUUUAAAAACAUUUAGUUUAUAAAAUGUACUGGUAUGGUUUACAAGGCAUAUGUUUCAUUUUUAACUGAUCCGUUAUAUUUGUAUUUACGGCAUGUUUCUUUUGGGAUAUCAGGAUCAUCUCUCAUUCAAGCUUGAGUAUGCCCAUCCUUAUUUGGAUGGUGUGGACGACCGUAGUAGAAACCGCACCUUCAAAGCUAGCUGCUUCAACGUCAGGAAAUUAAGUCCUGUCUUUGUUGCUGGCCCCAACAUGGAUGACGCUCCACCUAUCUGGGUUGAUAGAGUUGGAAUUAAAGCCACUAUAACAGAGGUUUGCACAGAUUGAUAUUACCUUCUUCAUCUUUUGAUUUUCAUAAAUAUCUACUCCCAAGAUAUAUUUUUAACAUGAGGAAACUGCAUUUGGAAAUUUUUUCAGAGCUUUACAAGGCAGAGCAAAUUCACUUAUGGCCUCGUGUUGGAAGAGAUUAAAACACGCGAUGAAGAUAACAACAUAUGCACACAUGGUUCUCGAGUAUUGCCUAUUGGUGCAUUGAACAUGGAUGGACCUCCCACAACCUUCAGUGGUACCGGUGUAGAUCGAAUGGCAUUUCUACAAGCUAAUAUAACUCGAGACAAUACUGAGUUUGUAAACGGGGCAACUAUUGGUGACAGAUGUAUAUUCCAGGUGGGGUGUUUUGUUCUCAGUGAAUUUUCAAUUGUUGCUGGGUGUUUAAAACCAAAUUGACUGCACUGUGCCAAAAGGAGAAAGCCAGCUCCUUACACAACUGAUGUUUCUGUUUUCGUAUGAGGCUGCUGCACAAUGCAUAAUGCUGACUGUUUAGGCACAUUUUAGCAAAUGUUAUCAUUACAAUUUUUUUAGAAUCAAGGUAUUCUUGUUUAUGUUAUAAUUGCUUUUCAGUUAUAUUUUAAAUAUCUGGGUUAGUUCUUGUUUAACAGCAUCAUGUGUUUAUAGAAAGUUCUCCAUGGUAAAGUAAAUCCACUUAUAAUUUUCUUGUGGGCCGCAGUUGGACCAAGGUCUUGGCAUUGGAAGCAAAAAUCCAUUCUUCAACCGUCAUCAGCUUUCAGCGACAAAGUUCAUUAAUUUGAAUAAGCAAGAUAAAGGUGCUGGCAAGCCACCACCAGCAAUUUUGGCGAUUCAUGGUCGCUACGCAGGCUGUGUAGGAGAUCUGCCGAGCUAUGAUGCAUUUGCAAUCGGAGGACCUCACUCUGUUAGGGGCUAUGGCAUGGGAGAACUGGGUGCUUCCAGGAAUCUUCUUGAGGUGAGCAUCAAACUAUCGAUCCUCAGGGGGAUUUGGCACUUACUCUGAAUCAUGAUGCAUAGUUGUUAUCGCUGUUCAUGUCGUAGUCGUGGAGGUUUUGCUUUUCUUCGGAUUUGUUUUGAAUCUUAUAUCCAUGCAGUUUGCCACUGAGUUGCGUGUCCCCAUCACUGUGAAGAACAAACAAACGCAGGUGUAUGUAUUUGCUGAGCAUGGCACUGACCUCGGGAGUUCCAAGGACGUGAAGGGCAACCCUACAGAGUUCUUCCGACGCGCAGGCUCUGGGUCCUCCUAUGGCAUUGGUGUCAAGCUCGGCACGGUAAGGGCGGAGUACGCUGUAGAUCACAAUGCUGGUACGGGAGCCUUCUUCCUGAGAUUUGGCGAAAGAUUCUGAAGGCCGCGUCUCUGUCCAGCUUGACGAUCAGAAAGCCCUAUGUAAAUUCGACUGCCAACUUUCUAGAAUAAAAUUAACUCGUGAAGAUAUAACGUCACUGAAUCUUGUAGCAGCAAGGCCCGCGUUAUGAAUGGUUGAGAGUAAAGUCAGAUUCAACUGGAAUAAGAGUUUCGUUUUGAUGGAAGGAUGUCAUUGUACUCUCUUCCUCCGUGGAACUGUACUAGAUGGUAGUCUCGGAGUAUUAUCUUGAACUUGGUAACUAAACCUAUUGAGUGUUAGGAGGAUAAAACUCUUCUCUCAAACUAGAACUUGUGCAUUCACGAUGCAUCCGACAGCUUGCAUCUGUCAGGUGCACGAGAGCACCAGAUGUACUCGGAGCACCCGAUCUUCUCUUACAUCAUUUUUUAAUCUAAAUUGCACAAAUUUGAUAAAUUUGGGCUUUGGGUGAUUUCGAAAUUGCUAUCGCAUUUUCUAGAAUUUAAAAAGUUAUGAUUUAAUCAAAAAUUCAUAACUAACUUAUUUCAAAUCUAAAAAAUAUGAAGUUGGUACAAAAUUUUUCUAAAAAUGUAGGCUAUUUGUUCAUACUCUAUUUGAAAUUGUUUACAUCAUAUUUGUUACUAAACCUAGUGUUAUAUUGUUUUUAAUAAAACACAAGGAACAUGAACAAUCUAGUUUUAAAUAAUGCUAAAUAGUACACCAACAGAUAGUUUACAUUUUUAGAAAAAUUUUGGCACCAAUUUAAUAUUUUUCUGAUUUGAAAUGAAUUAGUUAUGAACUUUUUAAUUAGAUCUAAACUUUUUAAAUUUCUAAAAAAUUGCAAACCACUCCUAAAACUAUCCAAAUGGCUAAAUUUAUCCGGUUUUGACAUAUGAAUGGCCCUCCGUGUCCAGUUUUGUAGUUGUCAGUAUAGACAUGUGUCACAUCACUUUAUUAAUGAAGUAAAAAUUCCUACAAAACCUUCGCUGCAAAUGGCCUUACCGCCUCCCGAUUAUCACCGUUUGUUGUUACCUUUUUCUUUUCCAUUGCUAUGUUUGUCCUCCUCGCCUUUGUGCUCCCCACGUUAGGUGAAUUUUCAAACCUUUAAGGCUAAGAUUGGGAGCCCUUUGUUUUCUCAUUUUUUUAAAACAAAAGAAGAAGAAAAUGAAAAGCGGCUUUACCUGCACAACUGCAGUUUUGGCUAGAAUUUACUCCUAUGUCGAGUAAUUGCUCAUGUAGUGUCGCGGCAUCUUCCAUCGCUUCGACUCCUAUGCAUUAACGCAUGGGAACGCAGCAAUCGGAAAGUUCAGUCUUGAGUGCGGCUGCCUUGGACGGUGCAGGGUGGAGAGCGGGGAGGCUUUGCAUGCAUGGAGUUAAUUAUUAAUGGGCUAAUGGCCGCCUAACCUUCUCCGUUCUGCUUGUGAUAAAACUGAAUCGGCGGCGCAUGCCGGACACCCGUUAUAUAGACCAAACAUGCUUAUGACUAAAAUAAGCUGAAGCUGAAACUAGUAGCCAAACGGUAUACUUUUUUCAGCUUCUUCUGUCUGCGCUUCUCUCCACAGGUUCCAUUUGUUUUCCUAUAUUAGUACAGUUUAUUUGAGAAGCAGCUCCCGCAGCAGUACCGUCGUAACCACACGCCCGGCGGAAAGCCUGGGAAAGCAUAGUACCAGCAAAGGAGUCGCCGGAGCCGCCCGCGAUGACGAAGUACGUCACGCUCUCCGUCCGGGACGAAGAGUACCGCGAGAUCACCCGCACCAUGCGCACGACCGACAAGCUGCACACCCUCAUCGAUUUCUACUACGACAUGGUGCCCGCCGUCGCGUACGGCGAGGGGGCCUUCCUGCACCGCGGCGAGCCGGUCGACAGGAUGAAGACGCCGGCGGACUACGGGAUGCGCGAUAGGGACGAGCUCGCCUUCUCGUCGCAGAUCGACUCGAGCACGUUCCUCACGCUGACCGUGCGGGAAGAGGAAGGGCUCGGGUCCUUCUCCCUCACCUUGCGAACGACCGACCAGCUGCGGGACCUGAUGGACUUCUGCUACGAGAUGGUGCCCACCGUCGACUACGGCGACGGGGUCUUCCUGUUCAACGGCAGGCGGGUUAAAGGCCACCGGACUCCGGAGGAGCUCGGUAUGGUGGAUGGCGAUUGGAUCGGUGUUACUUUCAGAGUUCGUUACUGAACGUCGUCGGGCUGCUUCCGCUGAACCGGCACCGCCCGUAUGUUGCUGCACUUUUCGUUGUGUAAGCAGCUGCUACUUGCGUGCAUCUAAAUUUCACGCAUCUUUUGUUCCAAAAUUUAUCGAUAUCCAUGAAUCGAUCCCUCUCACUCAUCUCACCGUGCUUAUGAUGUACUGAAAUAUGUCAUGGUUACCUAUUCUAGAGUAUCGAGUUUAAAGCCAAAAAAUAUGUAGUAUGUCAAUGUGACUUGAAGUGACAUGAUUCAACACUUUACACAAAAGCAUGGUCGUGCAACUUGAUUGAAUUGAUUCACAUUUUGUGAACAAAAACUAAUUCAACAAUUUCAAUGACCUGAUCUAGCGUUUUGUUAAACUAAUCGAUUCAACAUUUUAUAUCAAACUGUUUAGAAUGUUGAACUAGCGCGCUCAAACUUCUGAACUUCCUACGAUCGGAUCGGCCCAACCACAGCCCUAAACGGUCCGGCCCAGGGCGGCCUCGGUCGGUUGCCCUCUCGCCCAGCACGGGACCAUACCCGGUGCAGCGAAUAGGGUAUCCUCCCGCCGCCGCACUCUCUUCGUCCCGGAUCGAUCCCCAUUCCAUUCCCCACCCGGCUCCAGCACGGAACUUUCCUCUCUCUAGGGUUCCCCCCCUAUCCCCCUCGAGUCUCGACCGUACCAGGUAAAUUACAGGUCCACCCGUCCCGCGUUCGGUCCGAUCCCGUGAUUCGAGCCUUCGCGCAUCGAUCCGGGACUCUUCCGCCCGCAAAUUUCCCCGCGGCGGAGUUUCGCGGCCUCUUUGUAUUUGGGCCAUUCGAGUUGAUUAUUUUGGAGGAUUGAGUGUGCGUUGUUAGAUUUUUUGUGCGACGACUGCGGUGUGUUAAUUGGAGGUUGAAAGAAUUGUAGCUGUUUUGAGGCGGCAAGCGAGUGCUGCAGAAGCAUCACAUCUGCGCCGAGGCAUGGAUAAGGAGCUCUUCGCCAACGACGGCUCCUUCAUGGAGAGGUUCAAGCAGAUGCAGCAGGAGAUGCAGGAGAAGGAGAAGGCCGCUGCUACUGAAGCCUCAUCGGCUCCCAAGCACGGGAGCUCCAAGCCGGGGUUUGCUGUUGCGGCGAACAAGAGGCCGUUCGAGCUGAAGAAGGCUGGUCCAGUCGCCACGGGCGGGAAGCUGGCCUUUAGCCUGAAGAAGGCCAAGGUCGCGGUCGCCCCUAUUUUUGCGGCCGACGAAGAGGAAGAGGAUGUGGAGAGGGAGGAGCCUGCCAAGCGCCACAAGUCUGUGCAAGCUGAUGCUCCUGUGGCAGCUACCCCGGCAGGGGCUGUUGGUAAUCAUUUAUUUAUUAAUUCAUUCAUUCAUUUAUUGCUGUUAUAAUAUAAAAAAUUAUUAGUGGUUUCCCAUUCUUUGGAUUUUUUGUUGGCGUUCUGUGGGUGUAGUUGCUAUCAAAUGAUAAGAUAGAAAUAUGCGACAAGAAUUUUAAUUCAAUAAUUGUCCUAGAACAUCAGCUAUAUAUUGCCUCUUAUCUUUUUUGCUUUUGAAUUCAUUCCCCAUAUAUGUGACAUAUCAUAGGUUUUACUCUUGAGAUGACUUCUAAUUUGGUAUCCCAUACCCCAAUUAAUACCACCGACACAUAUGGUUAUAUUGUCAUUUUUUAAUACAUUUUUCUGUUCCAUGCAUUUGAGGGUGUUAUCCUGAGUCCUGACAGUAUUGCAUUCAUAUUGAUAGUGAAACGAACUAACUAGAUACUUUUUAUUUCAUUUGUCACAUACUGAUUUAACUAGAAAGUAGCACUGCGUUGCAUAUGCAUUUUUAGUGAAAUUAUUACUUGUAGGACUGCUUGGAUGUCAAGUAUAUUUUGGUUUCGUAUGGUUUCUAUAAUAUGUCAUAGCAUAAAAACUUUUAGGUGUUGGUAUACAACUAACAGUGUACAAAUGUAGUAUUCCAACCACCAUGUUAUUUUGGAGUUUAUGAAGGAAACCCAUUAAACACCUCUUUUUCCUAAAAAGUAAACACGAGGCAUGCUACGAUUUCCCUUUCUCACCACAUGCGAAGUAUUUAGCAUUCCUGUCUAAUUUCAUGCAGUACUAUCAGUAAACACAUUCCUAAUGUGACUAAUCUGAAUUGCAUACAUUCAUUUUGGAUUGUUCACAGUAUUACUUUAGCCUUUUUUUAUCUCCAUAUAUAUAAAGUAUUGUUAUAAUUAGCCUACCCCAACUUGCUUGGAACUGAAAGGCUAUGUUGUUGUUGUUGUUAUUGUUAUAAUCAAAGCUAACUGCAUUCAAAUAGGCAAAUAGUAUGUAUGUAUGUAUCAUGCUUUAUUUAGUUUUCCUCUGUUGGAUAGUUCUUCUAUAUACUGUAGAAAAUGGUGGUUUUCACAAUUUAUGUUGUUUCAGUUCCCAUGUAUUAAAAAUAUGGUUUUCAAAAACUCUGCUUUGAAAUGUUCCUGACAUCAAAACACAUCCUUAUAGUAUUGAUUUCAUGCAUUUACAAAUGAUAAAAAUGGAUCUAGAAAGCAACAAAUUGCAAUGCACAUUGGUGUUGGAAUCGACCAUCUAACAGUGUUUAAUAAUUUUUUAAAACUAUCCAAGAAAAUUGCUUGCUGUUGCACAACGUGAUUUAAACCCUCCGUUUAUGCUUGGCUCAUACGUUGUUAGGUUUACAAAAGAAACAUCUUUCUCAGUGUUUGGGUUCAUUAUAAGUCAGGCAGCAGAAAGUCGUGAAGGUUUUGUUUUUUUUUUCCGAUAACUGCAGCUUAUAGAUGAACUGUAUUGGCAUUGCCAGGAAGGAUAUGAUUGAAAGAGUUGGAGACUCUACUGCAGUAAUUUGCAUUGCCUUGUCAAUAUGCUUGAUAUUAAUAGUUCUUUAAGUGACAUGCAGCCCCACCCCCACCAAAUGAUAUGACAGUGAAGCAAGUUGCUGACAAAUUGGCAAGUUUUGUUGCAAAAAAUGGGAGACAAUUUGAGAAUAUCACACGGCAGAGGAAUCCUGGAGAUACACCAUUCAAGUACGACUGCACUACUUAUUUUUCUGAUAAACUCUGUUUUACUUUUAAAUUCUAAAAUCUGACUUUAAUAAAUUAUUGAUAUAAAUCUUGGGUUAUUUGCAGAUUUCUAUUUGACAAACACUGUCCAGACUACAAAUAUUAUGAGUUUCAGCUUGCUGAAGAGGAAAAGGCUCUUGGUCAGUCAAAGGAUGCUGAAGCAUCAAAAAAUGGUUUGUGGCACAAUUUUUUUAAUCAUUUUCUAUAUCUAAAAGUUCUAUAAAAGUCUUGAUGCUAUAUACUCUUGUUAAUGUAGCUAGUUCUAGCACUGCAAGCUUCAAAGCACCAAGUGGUCCGUAUAAAAGCUCAUUUGAACAAAAGUCCAACUAUCAGACACCUGCAUCAGCUUUGUAUGGGGCAUAUGAGGGUAGUUCUUCCCAAGGAAGCUCAUCUAGUUAUGGUAAAAUAUACAUACAUGGUUUCCUUUAUCAAAUGUUAUAUAUCUACAUUCUCUAUGUUCCUGGACUGUUCGCCUGUUUACAUUUGUUUGAGUUUGCAUUUUGCAAGUCAUCCAAAUCAGGCACUUCUAUUGCCUUAGUAUCUUAUUGUUAUUUCUGAUGUCUUGAAUAUUAUGUUUCAUCCUUGUAGCUUCAAUGAAUAGAUAUAUUGUAGGGUUUCUGUUGUGAACCAUUAAAACCCUACUGCCUGUCAUCUCCCUGAUCUAUAGUUUGCUUUAGGAGUAAAAACCAUUGCUUCCUAUCUUGAACUGUUUCUUGUUAUUAUAUGUGCUUAAUGCUAGUUCAUCAUUUUGCAGGUGAUCACAAUACAUCUGCACCGUCAGAUCCUGUAGCUUUGAUGGAAUUCUAUGCGAAGAAGGCUGCACAGGAAGAACGGAAGAGGCCACUAAGACAGUCAAAAGAUGAAAUGCCGCCACCUCCUUCUCUUCAAGGUACAUUUUUUGCAACAUGAUUUGCCGUACUGGAAGAACAUAAAAACUUCAAUAUUUGUUCUACAACUAAAAAUUCUUGUUUUGCAGGUCCUCCUAAGAAGGGACACCACAUGGGUGACUUCAUUCCUCAAGAAGAACUUGAAAAGUUCAUGGCACGCUGUAAUGAUGCUGAAGCACAAAAGGCUACGAAAGAAGCUGCCGAGAAGGCUAAGAUUCAGGCAGACAAUAUUGGCCACAAACUUCUAUCUAAGAUGGGUUGGAGGGAAGGUCAGUCAUUGAUGAAUACUAAAUAACAUAGUCACCAUUACAGUAAUUCUCUGAUCAAACCCUGUCAGAUCUUUUUUUCAAAGUCCCAGAUGUUUAUGGCAACAGUACAUCAACCCCUCUGACCUUGACCGUCAUAUUCAUCCAACAAACCUUAAAAAAUUGUCAAAUUAUGCUGUUAACAAAGCCUUCCAUCCCAAAUACCAGAUAUAAGAACUAUUUACAAUGGAUCCUUUUUCCUCAGCAUUGUCCUGCAUGCAUUAAUUCUCAAUAUCCCUACCCGGUGGAACCUUUUUUGUCAGGCACAUAGGAAGGCAAUUAGCGAUAAUAUGCACCAUUCCACUUCCAGGUGUUAAAUAUAAUUUACUGUGCAGGUGAGGGUCUUGGUAGUGAGAGAAGAGGCCGUGCGGAUCCCAUUAUGGCUGGAGAUGUGAAGAAGGAUCAUCUUGGUGUUGGUGCUGUCAAGCCUGGUGAGGUCACAUCUGAAGAUGACAUCUACGAGCAAUACAAGAAGAGAAUGAUGCUUGGAUACCGCUAUAGGCCAAACCCUCUGGUAUAUUUGCUGCCAUUGUCUACUUCCAGGAGUUGUAUGUUAUUUCUGUUUGCCUAAACACUUCUGCUAUUUUUGCAGAACAAUCCAAGGAAACAAUAUUACUGAUACAGGUUAGUUCAUCUAAGAUGUAAGACACCAAUUUUGCUGUAUUUUUGCUCACAUAACUAACAGCUAGGGAGUAUGACUAACAGCAUUGAAAGUUUUUGUUCAUCAGCAGAAAAACUAAGAAGCUCAUUUAGUCAGCAUAUAUCUUGGAAUGCCACAGAUCUGAGGCUUACGGGGGGUUCAACCGUAGCUUUGUUCUUUGUGUAGUGUUGAUCUUUGUUGCUUUAAAUUCACUUCCAUGGUGAUGUGUUGAAACGUGGAGCAUAGUUUCAUAAUGUGAUGUAUUGCCUUCUUGGAUGACAACAUAUCUUUCCUGAUUAUUCAUCUUUUUGUUGGGAUUUAUUGCCGCAAUAUCAUAUUUCCAUACUGGGAGGCAUAAUCUAAAAGUCUGUUGCAAUGGUUCUAUUUUAUUCUGGAUUCUGGAAUUUGAAUAGCUAUGUGGAACGUGAGUGUCGGUACGGAAGCUAUUACUUACUGGCAGCAUAUAACUUGGCGUUAUUUCUGUAGGAGUUAAAAUUCUGUUAUGCUCUCUGCCACUCUGAUGUGCUGAAUUAAUGGGUUACUUUGAUUGUGAUCUAAGCGCUUAUGGCCUGAUGGGCUAAUCUUAUUACACGGUUUUAUUGCAUAGUUACUUAGAUUGAAAACUAGGUAAUAGUGCUAGAUGAGUGUUAUGGGGAUUAAACUCAUUUCUUGUUUGAUGAAACUAUCUUUAUUCAUUACCUUGCCAAGUUAGGUCUCGUUCGUUUCAUCAGGAUUGGAUUCCAGCCAGGAUUACUUCCAGGUCCGGUUUGAGUGAUUCCACCCGUGUCACUCAAUCCGGCCAGGAUUCAUUCCAGGGGUGAGGAGUUAUGGUUUCAAUCCAGGCCAUCUAAUGUAGUAGGAUUCCAAUCCAGAUCGGUUUUCGUUCCAGGCAAGACUAAAACGAACAACACUUUCAAUGCAAGUCUGGUUUCAAACCGGACCAAUUCAAACCACCCGGAAUGAACCUCAUUCCGGGCCAAUCCGUGAAAACGAACAGGCCUUAGCAAUUUUGGUGUGGCAUGAACUCUCGUGAAACAGACUGACCUUACUGUUAUGCUCUCUGCCUCUCGGUCUCGGAUGUGCUGCAUUAAUGGGUGACGUUGAUUGGAAACCACAGUAAGGGAGACAUAAAUUUAUAUUUUAGGAAAAUAUCGUAAAGUUUGCACAAGCGUAUCUAUUACUCUAUAUUAAUGUUGCUAGACUAGACGAAAUCUCAGAGGCUGAGCUACUGUUCACCGACGCUGGUACGUGGGUCCGAAAUCCAAUCAGUUAUGAAAAAAAAAAAAAGAAGAAGAUUCGAGAGUCCACAGGUCUCGGUCCUCCACGACCACGAAGAAUCGGCGAACUCCAUUUGCCUAGCCGCACCUAUCGCCGUUGGUCCGCUCCGCACGCUGGGGCCGCCGGCUCGCUCCGGCGCCCGCUCCCUCGACCGGCGGAUCGCGCCGCCGCCCGCUCGAGCAGCCGCAUGCGCCGCCCGGUGGGAAUGUGAGAGCACAUCAGCAACCACCGGCGGCCGUCAACACCACUUGAAUCUUGGCAUGGAGAGAGAGAAAGAGAGAACAGAGCUGUGCAGCGCAAAAGUCUGGACAACCAACCGAAUCAGGCCACCGGCGUCGGCUCUGCCAUUGCUUCCACCGAUAGACUUCCAGAGCAGUCUGCCACCGUGGCCUCUCACUACCCUCUCUAGAGCAACCAGCAGCCGUGGCUCCGCGCUCACCGAGCCCAAAAAUGAUGGCCUUCUAGCUGCAGGCAAGACCUCAAUCCGCAGGAAUCAAAUUCACUCUCCAAGUCUUUGUAGCUUUUGUGGAUGGAUGGGGGAGAGAGAGAGAGAGAUUGCCAUGGGGAUGACCGGAUGACUAGAUGAAGGGAUAAAGGGCACAGUGCACUUAAAAAAGAAAGAAAAUAGGCCUUUUAGACGCUUUCCUCACUGGCUUUUUACAAAACAGGAGGGGAUCCCUUACUAAUUACUAUAUUAAGCAAAACAAAGAGAAAGUAUGUACAAAAGAAAAGAUAUUUAGCGAAUGAAAGAAAAAUUACAGCAGAGUAUGCAACCGUCGUACUUCAAUGGGAAAAUAGGAUUUCUUUGCUAAAUAAUGAUUCAGAGCAAAUAAAUGCAUAAAAAUCUCUUUCAUCUAGAGGAACGGCAUGAAUUUGAAUUCUGGUUUCAUUCUGAUUUGUUUCCUAAUUUUGUUCAAUACUCAAUACUAUAAUAUAUACUUAUAGCAAAGUAGAGAGAUUACAUAUGUAACUCUUUCCGUUAUUGCUUUGAGUUAAUAUUUUUGUACAGGCGCGCAUCGCGCGCCAAUCUAUCUAGCAUGGCACUUGGUGAGAUACGAAAGUUGACAAGUAGGGCCCAUUCUUGCCCCCCUUGUCUCACCAUCUCGUAUCUCGCGGCUGGCUCACUUGAACUACCAUGUGCUGGGCACCUGAAGCUGAAAUGCUGAAAGCGAAGCGCCCGCCGCCCGCAGCGAUCAGAGCGCCGGUACAGGAAUCUCUCACGCAGUCACGCUGCUGAUCGCCUCCCUCCCCAGUCCUCACUGAUUGCGCUUUGCCUCUGGCCCGGCCGGGGCCCCGGGCCUCAUGCAUGUCCAGUCACGCCCACCAAACGGAACGCAGCCAUCUUUUUGUAAUAAGCACCAAGUUGGCGGCGUUAACAAUGCGGGAUAAUCCGCUGGAUCAUCAUCGGGGACGCUGGCCUGGUUUGAUGACCUGGACGAAUAUCAUCGAGCUACCAAUCUUGGAAGAGAAGUCUGGAGGCGCAUGCUGUCGGGUGUCAGCCUGUCUCCACCGCUGGCCGCCUCGCUGUCAGCUGUACUGCACUGCACCCGGUCACUCAUUCACUGGCCGGUAGGCAAGCUUGAGGCUCAAGUAGCCGCCAUAAGCCUCCAUUGAGUACUCCUGCCAGCAUCACUGCCCAGACCUCCAGAUUUGUGGAGUGACGGUAGUAGCAGGUUACUUCUGGUAGGAAAUCGAAACCAUUCAGGACCAACGCCUGUCCGCUGGCGACAACGAAAAGCCGUUAUGGCGAGCGAUCGAUCCUGGUCUGGUUACAGUUAAGCGCGCCUCGGGUGUUAGGAUACCCCAUGCUAAAGUUUAGCACAUGUCACAUCGGAUGUUUGAUGCUAAUUAGGAGUAUUAAACAUAGGCUAAUUACAAAACUAAUUGCACAAAUAGAGUCUAAUUCAUAAGACGAAUCUAUUAAGCCUAAUUAGUCCAUGAUUUGACAAUGUAGUGCUACAGUAACUAUUUGCUAAUGAUGGAUUAAUUAGGUUUAAUAGAUUCAUCUCGCGAAAUAGCAUAGGGGUUUUGCAAUUAGUUUUAUAAUUAGUUCAUAUUUAGUCCUCCUAAUUAGCAUCCGAACAUCCGAUGUAACACUGCUAAAGUUUAGCAUCCAGUAUCAAACACCCGUCGUCGGUCUGACUGCUCCGAACGUUGUCGUUCCACCGGCCCCGAGAUCAUUCCCGGCUGCCUCGCAGCUGUGCGCGCGCUGGCGACCGCCUACCGGCCGCCAUGAUACGAGCCGCGCCGCGGACGUCAGGUUCGGCCGCUCGUCUCGUGGCGGCCGGUGGAGACUGGAGAGGUGACCUCGAGACAAACCAAUCCAGGAGGCCGCGGUGGUUGGCCACUCGCGAUCCGACCCGCGCGGGUCCCCCCGUGAAGUUCCCCCUUCGAGAUCGCGAGCCAAAAAUAUCGCAUCCCCGGCCGGCCGGCCCAGCUCCAACCUCCAACAGGAAGCAAAAAAAAAUCAACGGGCUUGUGGCGGUCGCGGUCUCGGGGAUCCGUCGGCCGGAGCGGCCGAACGAUCGCGUGUGGCGGCACGCCGCGCCGGGGACAUGAGGCGUCGGGCCGCGUGGAAGUGGAGGCGUGCGUGCUCAUAAAUGAGCACGCCUAGAAGCGGCCAGGAGUCCAGGACGGCGUGGUCGUCGUGUCACGGGCACUGCGCGCACGCCAGUGCCGUCCAUCACGUACCGUCGGCCGUGCGUUCUCUUUGCAGCGGCACGGUUUGGACACCGGAGGAAGUACGUGACAGGAUUUGGCAUGCGACCACUCGCACCGUACUUUGUAAAAAAGAUCAAGUAGCGUGGCGCAUUUCGGUUCCAGGCUUGGAUUACUCGCCGAGAUAGGCCGGGUGACAAGAUUAGGCUAGCUAGGGUAUGAAUGAGUGGUCGCAUUUUUCACUUUAUGGGUUUUUUAGAUCGCUUCCAGUUCAAAUUAUUCGUGAACCGAUCUAUGGACCGUCGAGAAGUUCAAACUGGAUUCCGAAGUAUUCGAAUCCAAAUCUCGGCGUGGCCGUGACCGUGACCAAACAGCCCAAGUGGGCGAGCUGCUGCUGCUGACCCGGCCGCGCAACCGCCUCCACAUGACCCAUCUCAUCUCAGGCUCUCCGCGGCUGGCACCCCACGUGCCGGCGCUGGCCUGACACCUUGGCGCAUGGGCGCGGCGCCCACCCGGCCAGCUCCGGUUGGGUACACCCGGUCCUUGCUUGACGGUGGAACAAAAACACGGCCGGCCCGGCAGCGUACGCGCUGCUGAUAAAAAGGCUAGCGACCGGGUAAAUUGUCGCGGCAUUUUGUCGGGUUAGACCGGCGCACCGUAGAUCGGUUCAUGGACCCCUGGUGACCUAGCGUCAUAGCUCGUCAUUUAGACAUAGGCAAAAGAAGAUCUUCAUAGAAGAAUGUGUUAGAAAAACGGAAAAACUCCAUCCUUAUUAGUCACUUGGGAAGCGUGCUACGACAAAUAAAAAAGAUGGCAAGCGACAGAUAAAAAGGGACGGAGAGAGUAUACGGUAACAGAGAUGCAUGCUGUUAUGUUUAUUUUACUACACUAUACCUAUCAAGAUCUUUAUAACAUUUUCGGAGUAAUAAAUGUAACCCUUAUUUUCUAGCUACCAGGUGACUCCUAAAUUUCGAACACAUAUUGUUAUAUUGUUGUACAAGGUUCAUUUUGCUCUUAUGAACCUACAUUGCAAAUUACAAUAGGGAUUUAUGUGUGAUUGUAUGACUUACGGACACAUGCACCAAAGAUUAUUCGAGCCAGUGAUGACCGAACUCACUUGGAUGAGAUGCAAGGGGAAAGAUGAAGUUAUGUUUUGGGGAUUACACCAAGUGUCGUUGUACGGACGAUGUAAACGGCUCCGUGCAGUUUUUUUUCUUUGGCACAAAGGCAUCAUUUUGUCAUAGAUAAAAUAAGUGUUUGUUUAAUUCAAGGGUAUGCAGCCUCAACAUUUACCUUGGUUCGUAAGGAUUUUGAUUCAGUUCCAUUCCUGUGAAUGCUUCUUUUUGUUCGAAAAAUUAAAAUGCAGAUAUCGUGCUUAGGAAGAAUACCGGACGGCUGGCAGUAACAAAUCAUACAGUAUUUGCCUUCUAUAAAGGCAGCUGGAGACUGUUCUCCGAAAUAAAUCAUAGCGGCUUAGGAGUGUUUGAUACGAGGCGCUAAACUUCAGCAGGUCAUAUCGGAUGUUUGGAUACUAAUUAUAAAGGUCAAACACGAGCUAAUUACAAAACUAAUUGCACAGAUGGAGUCUAAUUCGCAAGACGAAUCUAUUAAAGCUAAUUAAUCCAUCAUUAGCAAAUAGUUACUGUAGCACCACAUUACCAAAUUAUGAACUAAUUAGACUUAAUAGAUUCAUCUCACGAAUUAGACUCCAUCUGUACAAUUAGUUUUGUAAUUAGACUAUAUUUAAUAAUUUAUAAUUUGUAUUAAACAUGCCAUAUGACAGGUACGGGUAUCCAAACACCUCCUCUCCUUUCCUCUUGGUAUGUUUAGCAGUUACCCCUGGCGAAGCCGUUUCGUCGACGUGCCGUGGUUUAACGGACGGGACGGGGACGGCCGGCUCACGUGAACAACGCCCACGAGGCCGCGCUGGCUCUUGUAAAAGCAACCGCUCCCUCCCUAGACGCUAGUGCCUCUUUCCUCUCUCCUCCGCCCCUUUUUAUCGCCCGAUCUCACACAUUUUGGAAAGAGGAGAGAGAGAGAACGCCCAGCCAAACAGCCAAGGAAACAAACCGCGGCGAGAGGCGGAGGAGAGGGAGGAAGGAGGGCAGAGGACGAGCAAGAUGAGAGAGAUCAUCAGCAUCCACAUCGGCCAGGCCGGGAUCCAGGUCGGAAACGCCUGCUGGGAGCUCUACUGCCUGGAGCACGGCAUCGAGGCCGAUGGCACCAUGCCCAGGUGAGUGACGAUCUCGAUCCGCGAGUGCGUUGCUUUUGGUUCCCCAAAUUUUUUGCUGCGUGCAUCCGCCUCGCGAUCUAGGUUCUCGGCUUGGGCCGCCUCGAAAAUCUGGCGGUCUCGUUGCAUCUCCUCGUUGUUUCCUUCUUCUCGAGAAAUCCUUGCUUCGGCGGAGCCAACGAUGGGCGGGCGGGUGGGUAUGUUAGAUUGGAUGGUACUGUCAUGGCAGUUCCGUGUUCGUGUCUUCCUUUUCGUUCUACUUCUCGUUGCUCCUUGGCUCCUUGUAAUGGGUUUUUUUGGGUGGGAUAUGUUGCGCUUUGUUGGGCGUUGGUACAUUUCUUUGCCGGUUGUUGAGAGAUUCCCAGCACCGGACGAGAUGCGACAUUUCCUAAUUAAGAGUCUGCCCUAGCAUUUUCGGACUAUUAGGCCUUUAAUUUGGUGCGUUUGUUCUGUUCCUACUAAUUAGGCAGGCGUCACAGAGGGGAUGCGUUUGGCUUUUGUAUAGAGGAGCGCACGUUAACAUGUCGUGGGACAAAUUGGGUUUCCAACUCCGUAAGACGCAAGAUCUGAAGAGUUGAAUCUGUGGGGAUGCUCAAUAAAUACUGUAACUGGUUAGCUCUGGUGGAUGUCAGCCCAUGGAUCUCCCUAGAUUCAAAAUAUCUGGUCCAUUGUUAAAAGUGCUAUGCUUAUCUCAGUUUUGCGUAAUCUUGUAGCGCCAUAGAAAAUUGUGCUGAUGCUACUGAGAAUAGAAAUCAUGUUGGGGAUCCUGAGGAGGCAGGUUACGUAGGCUCUAAUUUAUCUUUUGGCGCAUAUGCCAAUGACUCUUGAUUACAUUAACUGAGUUAACUGAUUUAUAAGUUCUUACUGUGCGGUUUUUUUAACGCUGUAUUGUUUGAUUGUGAUGCAGUGAUACCUCGGUUGGCGUUGCACAUGAUGCCUUCAACACUUUCUUCAGCGAGACUGGUUCUGGCAAGCAUGUGCCGAGGGCCAUCUUUGUCGACCUUGAGCCCACUGUCAUUGAUGAGGUGCGCACUGGCUCAUACCGCCAGCUCUUCCACCCAGAGCAGCUCAUCUCCGGGAAGGAGGAUGCGGCUAACAACUUUGCCCGUGGCCACUACACCGGUAAUUCACAUUGUGCCUUUGUGAAUAUGUAAUAGGAGUGAGUCUUGUGCUUCUGCGACUGCGGAUAUGUUCGAUUCUAAUUAUGUUUGUGGAAUGCAGUCGGAAAGGAGAUUGUCGAUCUAUGCCUGGAUCGCGUGCGCAAGCUGGCAGACAAUUGCACUGGGCUGCAGGGAUUCUUGGUGUUCAAUGCUGUUGGUGGUGGUACUGGCUCUGGACUUGGUUCACUGCUGCUGGAGCGCCUCUCAGUUGAUUACGGCAAGAAGUCCAAGCUUGGGUUCACCAUUUAUCCUUCCCCACAGGUAUGGCCUUUCCAAGAGGAGGUUGACUUAAGUAUCUGAGAAAUUGAUAAAAUCAAGUAGGUCUUGAAUCUCUAUUGGGCAAUUUGCUUAGACUUGUAUAUAAUUAAUAUCCUUGCGAACCCAUGCUAAGAUAUGGAUCAUGUAACUUGGCAGCGCUGUUAUUGCCUUCUGAAUUGCACAGAUACACUGGUUAUUGGAUCAGCCUAGCAUUAAUUAAAUCAUGUGUGGACUAAACGAGCAACUGUUGUAGACUUCUGGAGUUCUGGUUAGUGAGGAUCUUCCUUUAUAUGGUUAAGACCAUGAUAGCACAACUGUCACAGGCUACAGGCUUUCUUUAUUAGUGUCCCUAUAAAUCAUGCACUGCACAUGAGCCAACAUUAUCCUAUAGUGCUUCUCCCUCCUGUCCAUUUGAUUGUGGGCCAUUUAGUUUGUUCAUGUGAGUCUGCAUCUUAGCUGUUGUGGGGGACAGUGGGUAGAGAUGUUGUUUAAUGAUUUUGGGUAUGGUCCAUCGUUUAACUUUUCAUCUAAUGCCACUCUGGAUUGCAGGUGUCAACAGCUGUCGUAGAGCCAUACAACAGUGUCCUCUCUACCCACUCCUUGCUUGAGCACACAGAUGUUGCAGUCCUCCUGGACAACGAGGCUAUCUAUGACAUAUGCCGGAGGUCCCUUGACAUUGAAAGGCCAACCUACACCAACUUGAACAGGCUGAUCUCACAGAUCAUAUCUUCGCUUACCACCUCCCUGAGGUUUGAUGGUGCUAUCAACGUGGAUGUUACUGAGUUCCAGACCAACCUUGUUCCAUACCCACGUAUCCAUUUCAUGCUUUCAUCAUAUGCCCCUGUAAUCUCUGCCGAGAAGGCCUACCAUGAGCAGCUCUCUGUGCCUGAAAUCACCAAUGCUGUCUUUGAGCCCUCAAGCAUGAUGGCCAAGUGUGACCCAAGGCAUGGGAAGUACAUGGCUUGCUGCUUGAUGUACCGUGGUGAUGUUGUUCCCAAGGAUGUCAAUGCUGCAGUUGCAACCAUCAAGACCAAGAGAACUGUCCAGUUUGUGGACUGGUAAGCUGUCUCCGUCACAAUUUUAGUUAGUUGCACUUAUUUGAUGAUGUCACAAGCACCUGUCCACUUGAUUGGCCAUGCUAACUAACCAAACUGUGGUGCCGCCAUACAGGUGCCCCACUGGGUUCAAGUGUGGUAUCAACUACCAGCCACCAUCUGUUGUCCCUGGAGGCGACCUGGCAAAGGUCCAGCGUGCAGUGUGCAUGAUCAGCAACAACACUGCCGUCGCCGAGGUGUUCUCACGCAUUGACCACAAGUUCGACCUGAUGUACGCCAAGCGCGCCUUCGUGCACUGGUACGUCGGUGAGGGUAUGGAGGAAGGCGAGUUCUCGGAGGCCCGUGAGGACUUGGCCGCGCUCGAGAAGGACUACGAGGAGGUCGGCGCAGAGGGCGCGGACGACGAAGGUGACGAUGGAGAAGACUAUUGAGUAGCUGGUUAAUAAGUAGUUCGCUGGUGGUUAAUGGUUGGGUUGUUGGGUAUACUCUGUAUGGUUCCAUUCCAUUGCGUACUGCUGCCGUGUGUGUUUCCAUUUUGUAUUAUGUGGUAUAAAUUGUUCGUAGCGCCUGGUUGGCCAUGAUUGUUCAUAUCGUCUUGCUUUGGUUUGCAAUGCUAUUCGAUGAAUUUCGGUGUAUAUCAGUAUAUGGCAUUCUGUUGCAAGUGUUCUGUGCUCUCAACCAUUGGGGAGGAGUUUGAUCUGCCCCGCGGCGUGUUGUCAGGUGGAUAUCAACCAAUGCAGGAUAUGGUUUGCAGGUUGCUCAUAGAUGCCUGAUGCUACGAUCACUGACCAUCAGUCACCAAUGCAUUUGAGGUGGGCAUGGUGUGUCUGAGCUGCUUGAGCCAUACGCUCAGGGUAUGAUGGCAUGUGGAGAUCGCCGUGCUCGUCUGGCACAUCCGGCAAGCGCUGGUCGCGCACAUUCCCCCGGUUUGUCCAGACUUGGUGUCGCGACUCGCGAUGCAAGAGGGAUGAUAGGUGAGACAGCUUGGAAAGUGUUUAGAUCUGUGCACGAGAGCCCCGCGACCUGGUGCCAGUCGAUGUGGGUUGGUUGGUUUGGCAUCUGGUAGGUUUGGUGGCCUCAUGACGCUUUAACUUGGGAUGUCUCGUUCAGGAUCUCAGAAUUAUGAUGUGUCGAAGAAGCGUAAGGCCGGGUAAAAGUUGGAACUCACCCGACGAGCGUGAGUGUGUGACCCUGGAGUUUCAUUAUCGAAAAAAUUAUCUGGCGGACUUCCUGACCCGCCAUGGAUUCAGGCCAGGUAGGCAGCAUCAUUGAAGUACUACCAUCUGGAGUAAGAGUCGGUAGGUUUUCUGCAGAUCAGCAGAUGUGCGUCCCAGUAGCUAUGACUCCACUGGAGCAGAAGCAAACUGAGCCCAACCCGGCAGCCCCAAGAAAAAAGGUUUGGGCUGGGAAAUUGGGUUGCCGGCAAGGCCUUGUUGCGUGACCAGACUCCGGCCCAAAGAGGUGGCAUUACAAUCACCUCCAAAUAACGUAGCUUAGCUGCUCUCCAAAACAAAAAUUAAAAAAAAAUAACGUAGCUUAGCUAGCUUGCUGACUGACGAUGCCAUGGUUACAAAAGAUGCCAUGGUUUGAUUUGAUGACAACAAUGGAGCCGUUGCCGAAGAUGGAUCCACUCGAGCAAGGGCACAGGCCGCCACUCAGUUUUUCUAAUUUCAAUGGGCAUAAAGCUUAUCUAGUAAAGUUAUAAAGGCACACAUUUUUUCCAACUAGAUCCGGCAGCUAUGGUGUCACGGAGGAAUUGCCACAAAGACGAACAUCCAAUGUGUUGGGGGUUGUCGGAUGGGAGAGAAUUUCCCGCAUAUUAUUGGAUGCAUGGACAGAAGUUCCCACCGUUGCGUGAGCGCUGACACUACGAAAACUGACACCGCCCAUGCAGCAACUUGCAUUGCGUUGGUUAGAGCAACUGUUCCGUUCGUUGCCAUUUUGUUCCCUCCUCCGGCAUGUUUAAACUAGCAAAGCAUAAGUAGCCAGGGGGGAUCAACUGCAUCUGCCGCCUGCCGAUAACACGGCCGAGUCACUCACAUGGAGGAGUUCUGAUGCUUUUGCCCACCCUGCUGAUUCCUGAUCCCUGAAUAUUAUCGCGUGUCCAGGAGUUCCGGGACCCAUUGCUCACCUGCUCCGCUAAAAAAAGUUGCAAAAAAAGAAAGAAAAAAU
rnacentral:lncRNA from 1 species